CAGCCAGAGAGGUUAUUAGCUGUCACUCCAGAUGCUGCUUCUAGCUGACCUUUUGGUGCCUGGUACAAGGAGGUGUAGGCCAGCACUGAUCUUAGCAUCGGGAGGUACAGGAACACGAUCCCAAAUGAGUCACCUGCUCCACAAACUGAUCACUGCCCACAGUUCACAGUCUUUAUCUGACAGACCUCUGCACUAUCUAUCACCUCGGGCUCGCGGCGAAGGCCGGAACAGAAGUCAGAAGGAAGAUCACGUUUCGGGGGAAGACAAUGACUGAAAGAACCUUUGACCUGACCUCUGAAUAAAGACAAGCUACAUACAACUGGAAGGCAGAAUAAGAAUGGCUUUCAAGGCACUGAAAUGGGCCUCUUUGCCCUACUGCUUUGCAGAUUAAAAGCAACAAUCAGUCAACAAGGGGUGCUAAGGACACAUACUGAGAGCAGCAGCACAUGACGUCUAACAGUGAAAGAGAAGACAAGUAUAAAAAGCAAGCAGAAGAACUCUGAAACCAUCAUUACUGAAGGCAGGAAGAAAAGCAACAAAGCACUGGACACCCAACAGGAAAAGCCUAAGAGCAUCACUUUCUUCCUUGUUAGCACAAUGAUCACUGUUUGUCAUGUUGACCCUGAACCAUAAAAAAAGAUUAUAAUGUGUUCACCAUGGUCUGUUUAAACGAGUCAAAGAAUAAAGUUUAGAACAUGUAA